UACGAAGGGGGCUAGCGUUGUUCGGAAUCACUGGGCGUAAAGCGCGCGUAGGCGGGUUCUUAAGUCAGGGGUGAAAUCCCGAGGCUCAACCUCGGAACUGCCUUUGAUACUGAGAGCCUAGAGUCCGGGAGAGGUGAGUGGAACUCCUAGUGUAGAGGUGAAAUUCGUAGAUAUUAGGAAGAACACCAGUGGCGAAGGCGGCUCACUGGCCCGGUACUGACGCUGAGGCGCGAAAGCGUGGGGAGCAAACAGG
rnacentral:rRNA from 1 species